UCUUUUACUCACACCAACGUGGCAAAUGAGUUGGAAUUGUUUUAUCUACAUGGCAAUUAUGUGGCAUUGGCAAUCAACUGAUUAGGAUGGGUGUCACCGGGUGACCCCUUCAAAUUUUCCAAAAUGACCUUUUAAAAUGGUAAAACAUGAGUCCGUGCCCUUCAAAUGCAAAAAAUAGUCAUGAGGGGUCAUUUAAAAUAAUACACUAAAGUUUGUUGGGCUACAAUGACAAUAACCCUUUAAAAAAUAAUGUAUUUGUUGGUUGACCUGGUUUGAAAAAUUACUUUUGUAAGUUUUUGUCACAAUAAUACUUUUGUGAGUUUUUUUAAUUACGUAAUUACAACAUUUUCAUAAAUGAUUGCAUGAUUGAUGUUAGAAACAUCGUUUUAAGUAAGUUAUGUAUUUUUUUUAAAAGAAAUUUUUAAAAACAUUUAAGACAACAACUCAAAUAACUCAUAUAAACUUGUAAAUCUUCGAGCAACUCAAAUAACUCAUCUAAACUAUUACAUAGCAACUACUUCAUCGACUUGUACCAUACACAUUGCAUGUUGUAUGGUUCCAACCGGAAAACCGGCACCAAUAUACACCUAAUGGUCCGGUCGACGGUCCAUUGAUUUCUUCCCAACCUGUUGCGUUUCCGAACAGGUUCCAGUUCCGGUUCGGUCAAAAUGCUAAACCCUACGUGGCAUCACUUAAAUUCUUAAAAAUAUUUCACUUUUUUUUACCAAUUUAUGCCACAAUUUUUAGCUUUUACCAAUUUUAUAACAAUGUGCCAUUUUUUACCAAUUUAUUCAACUUAUGCAAAUUAUGCGCCCUUCUUCUAACCGGUUAAAAAAUGUCCAAUAUUGCAUCUUUUGUUCCUAUAAUAUAUCUUUGUUGCAUAUUUCGUAUUAAGCACCACUAUGUUGCAUAAAUUGAAAAAAAAACAUAAAAUUUUGUUGAAUAAAUGUUCAUCUAGCCCUUAUUAUAUUCAUUAAAUUGGUAACUAAAGCUUCAAAAUUUGUUGAUAAACAAAGGGACAUCAUAACAAGAAUAGUGAAACUAAAAUGAUGUGUAACAUUAAAAAAAAACUUAUAUAACAUAGAAUAUGAGGAUCUUGCAAGACAAAAAUCAGUGAUAUCAAUAUUAUGACAAUGGACAAAUAGGUAAUUUGAGCUCCAAAUUUUGCCAAAAGUAGAAUAAUUGCAAUUUUCAUGGGAAAUCACAGUAAAGACAUUGUUACAAGUUUUAUGAGAUUGAGGAAAUAGAUUGUUCUCUUUCUUGCGAAAAACAAAAAUCUUGCCUAAUUUGAACCGUUAAAUGCAAGAUAUAGCAAUUUAUUUUUGUUGAUUUCUUUAUUAUAGCAUCAUACUUUGGUUUCUUCCUAUCAAACCAUUGUAUUUCAAAAGAUCUAAUCAACUAUACCAAUAUCAUCCAAACUACAAAGCAAUGAAAUAGUUUGAAAGUAUAAAUAAUAUUAUACUUGCAUAGAGACUAGAUCAUCCGUAACAAGAAUAAUGAAAGGUUCUUUUUCAAGAAGAUAAUCAAAAGAGUCAGAAGUAUGAACUCAGGUUCUUUUUCAGUUUUCAUCUCCAUUUUGCACUUCCAUGGCUUCAAUGGAGACUUAACUGUAGAGCUUAGUGAAUCCAGCUGCUCAUACCUGCAAAGAGUCGAAGGAGGAUAAUGCAUCUUUUGUUCAUCAUCUUAAUUACGAAACAAAAAACUAGGUUUUCAACAAACAAAUAUGAUAGGGAAAAAUGAACAAGGUAAAUAUUAUUAAUUUAUUUAGUAGUAAAUAUGAUUGGGAAAGAUGGAUAAGGUAAGGAGAUCGGAUAUGGUGGGGUUUGAUGAUCCCAACGUGCAACAGCUACCACAACUUUUAGCUUUCACUAUCCAUUUAUAACUUCAAAACAACAAAAAGAAAAAUAAUAAUAAUAACAAAAAGAAAUAAGAACAGAAAAAACCCACCGCCUCUCAGCUUCUCUCCGCCUCACCGGAAUCACCUCCUCCAGCUUUUCGCCGGCGGACUCCGUCAUCUGUGGGCUCUGCGUCUUCGCAUUUGGCGUCGCCGGUCACCAAUCGCAUAGCUCGUUAUCUUGUAACUUGUAAGUCAUCUCUUCUUUAUUUAUAUUUUUUUCUUCCACUCACAGGUUAAGUUAUAAUUUAUGAUAUUUAAGUUAACUAAAAAGUUAAAUCAAGUGAUCUCCUUUAUGACUUUAUCAGCAUUUUAUAUUAUAUAAAUAGUUUUAAAGUAUAUUAUGUUGAAUAUAAUAUUAGUAUUUUGUUAUAUCUAAUGUUAAAAAGGAAAAACCUGAGAAACAGAGAUAAAAAUCCGUUCAUCUUCUCCUAUCAUGUAAAACCAAAUAAACUUAAAGUAGACAAAAAAAAGACCCUAAUAUAAUGGGCUUCUACCUUAAUAAAUGAAAAUGACUUUGCCACAUGUCCUCUUCUCAUUUAUUUGAACACAUGGCAUUUUCUAGAAAUUAUAAAUUUUUCUAUUUUCCACUUGUCAUUUUAUUGUAUUUUUGAUUUUAUCAAAUUAAAAUCUACAUUUAAUAUAUAAGGUAAUAUAUAUAUAAAGUAUUUAUUAGAAAAUGGUUUAUAUAUGUAAUGUAUCUAAUGCAUUAAAGUCUCAUUAAUUUUAAUAACUCAAAAAAUUUCUUAUUUUUCUUAUAAAUUUAAAGUUUUCAAAUUGUUAAAAUUUUAUAUUUAAUUUUUUUUAAAUAAACCCAUGUAAUACAUGGGUCUCACACCUAGUUACUUANUAUAUAU
rnacentral:lncRNA from 1 species